CUUCCCAGCUUUCUUUUCCUCCAAGUGCUCGCAAACAUGGCGCUUACCUUCCCCACCAGCCUGGUCCGGCUGCCCACCUCUCCCCGCCCCCACCUCGCUCCCCGGCCGGCGGAGGGCACUGGAUGGUGUUUGUUAAAUAGGCCCCUUUGGCUUCCUUUGGAUUCAAAGGCGACUGCACAUAACUGUUCUUGGGUUGAAAGUGCCUUUUCCUACAACAAGGACAGCCACUUUGUUGAAUGAGAGAGUUGUCAGUCUGGUGGAGUAGAAGUUUGGGAGCAGUGAGUCAGAUGGCAACCCCAGCACUGAAGAUGAAUCCAGCAAGGGACAUGAGGAUUUAUCUCCUCACCCACUCUCCAGUUCAUCUGAUGGCAUCACCAACCUCAGCCUUUCCAGUCAUAUGGAGCCAGUAUAUAUGCAACAAAUUGGAAAUGCUAAGAUAUCAUUAAGCUCUUCUGGAGUUCUGUUGAAUGGAAGCUUGGUACCUGCAAGUACUUCACCUGUCUUCCUUAAUGGAAAUUCUUUUAUUCAGGGACCCAGUGGAGUUAUCCUUAAUGGAUUAAAUGUGGGAAAUACACAGGCAGUGGCAUUGAACCCACCAAAAAUGUCAUCAAACAUUGUGAGCAAUGGUAUAUCCAUGACUGACAUACUGGGGUCUACUUCCCAGGACGUGAAGGAAUUCAAAGUCCUCCAGAGUUCUGCUAACUCAGCAGCCACCACGUCCUACAGCCCCACUGUCCCUGUCUCAUUCCCAGGCCUGAUACCCAGCACUGAGGUGAAAAGAGAAGGCAUUCAAACAGUGGCUUCCCAAGAUGGGGGCUCUGUAGUGACUUUUACUACACCAGUGCAAAUUAACCAGUAUGGCAUUGUCCAGAUCCCCAAUUCCGGAGCAAACAGCCAGUUCCUUAAUGGGAGCAUUGGAUUCUCUCCACUGCAGCUGCCCCCUGUGUCAGUGGCAGCUUCACAAGGUAAUAUCUCAGUAAGCUCAAGCACUUCAGAUGGAAGCACAUUUACAAGUGAGUCUACCACAGUCCAGCAAGGAAAGGUUUUCUUGAGCUCUCUUGCUCCCAGUGCAGUGGUAUACACGGUUCCUAAUACAGGCCAGACUAUAGGAUCUGUGAAACAGGAAGGCUUGGAAAGGAGCCUGGUAUUUUCUCAGUUGAUGCCUGUCAAUCAGAAUGCACAAGUAAAUGCAAACCUAUCUUCUGAAAACAUCUCGGGGAGUGGCCUGCAUCCACUGGCCUCCUCAUUAGUUAAUGUAUCUCCAACUCACAAUUUUUCUCUCAGUCCCCCUACACUACUAAAUCCCACUGAGCUAAACCGCGACAUUGCCGAUAGCCAACCAGUGUCUGCACCGGUGGCAAGCAAAUCUACUGUGACAUCUGUCAGCAACACUAACUAUGCAACUCUUCAGAACUGCUCCCUUAUUACUGGUCAAGACCUAUUGUCAGUCCCUAUGACUCAGGCUGCCCUUGGGGAAAUAGUUCCUACAGCUGAAGAUCAGGUAGGUCACCCCUCCCCAGCAGUACAUCAGGAUUUUGUCCAAGAACAUCGUUUGGUUCUGCAAUCGGUAGCUAACAUGAAAGAGAAUUUCUUACCAAAUUCUGAGAGCAAAGCAACAAGUAGCUUAAUGAUGCUGGACUCUAAAUCCAAGUAUGUCUUAGAUGGCAUGGUUGAUACUGUCUGUGAAGACCUGGAAACAGACAAAAAAGAGCUUGCCAAGCUCCAGACUGUCCAGCUGGAUGAAGAUAUGCAAGACUUAUGAACUUUAUUUGCUCCUCACCUCUUUUUGGCAUCAGCGGCAAAUCUUUUCAUGAAGCCCCAAGGACACAAAACAUUUUUGCAUUUAAAGGAAAACACUCUAGUUUUGCAAGUAUAUGCAUACAAGAGACUGUAGAUUGAUCUGCAUGAAGAUCACAGUUAAGUAUACGGGAGUUGAACUGCAUUAUUGCAGCCUUUUUGUUCACUUAUAAAUGUUCUCUUUUAAAUAGAUGGAGACAAAGGAC
rnacentral:sRNA from 1 species